rnacentral:rRNA from 1 species
UACGUAGGGGGCAAGCGUUGUCCGGAAUCAUUGGGCGUAAAGAGCGUGUAGGCGGCCUGGUAAGUCCGCUGUGAAAGUCCAGGGCUCAACCCUGGAAUGCCGGUGGAAACUGUCAGGCUCGAGUCCGGAAGAGGCGAGUGGAAUUCCUGGUGUAGCGGUGAAAUGCGCAGAUAUCAGGAGGAACACCAAUGGCGAAGGCAGCUCGCUGGGACGGUACUGACGCUGAGACGUGAAAGCGUGGGGAGCAAACAGG